AGCAAUGUGCUGAAGCUCUUAAAAGAUUGGAUCUGAGAGAGAGAGACACAGAGGAGAAAGAGAACUAGAGACAGAGAGAGGCAGACAGGGAGGGGGGGGAAAGACUUUCUUUUUCUUUCUAGAGGAAUUCUGCCCAGACUCUGCAGCAGUUGGUAGCAGGCAAGCUUUCUCCUGGGUGUCGCCUGGAAAAGUUGCAAAAUUGUUCUUCACCUGUAAGAACAUGCUCUUUAUCUUCCAGUCUCUUCUUGUCAAUUUGGAAAUUGCAGACAGCCCGGCUCAGGCUGAAGUGCAGUGGCACAAUCUUAGCUCACUGAAACCUCCACCUCCCAGAUUCAAGCGAUUCUCGUGCCUCAGCUUCCCAAGUAGCUGGGAUUACAGGCUUGUCAGAAAAAAUUUCUUAAUGAAAGAGAUGAUGAUGUUGACCUUAACCUCCAGAAUGAAGAAACUUCAGGACUUAGUCUGAAAAGGCUACCAAGUCGUGAUGGAGAAAAACAUGAAACCAUUGAUUCAGUUCAUUGCAAAUUCAUUCUACCAAACCUGACCUGGCUCUUGUUGCUGCUUGGUAGUCCUUUUAUUAAUCUCUUGGAGACUCAUUGAUUAGUUUCCUCUAUUGGUUGUCUAAAAACUUUUUUCAUGUUUUUGAAACUCACUGUGUGAUCUCCCCUUCCCCUUGCACUCAGAAGAUGAUCUUGCUUUCUGCUUUACUGAGAAGUUCAAGAUUAUCUGCAAUCUCCUUCAACUUUCCACUCCUAUCCUAUUUUCUAUUUUUCUUCAUCUCUUGCUUCCUCUGCUCUUUUGUUUUAGGGGAAGAAACAACCCCUCCAUUUCUAGGUUGAACCUAACUUCUCCAGGACUCUUGUCUGUAAAUUGUACUUUCUUUUUGUUCUCUCUUUUUUUUUUUUUUUUUGAGACAGAAUCUCGCUCUGUUGCCCAUGCUGGAGUGCAGUGGCAUGAUCUCAGGUCACUGCAACCUCCACCUCCUGGGUUAAAGCAAUUCUCCUGCCUCAGCCUUCCCAGUAGCUGGGAUUACAGGCGCCCGUCAUCACUCCCUGCUAAAUUUUGGUAUUUUUAGUAGAGACAGGUUUUCGGGUUUUCGCUGUGUUUGGCCAGGCUGGUCUCGAAUUCCUGACCUCAGGUGAUCCGCCCACCCCCACCCGCCUCGGCCUCCCAAAGCGCUGGGAUUACAGACGCGAGCCACGGUGCCCAGCUGAAUUGUACCUUCUGUUCUGUAAAAUACUAAAAUCCCUUGUUGUAUGUUCUUUAAUUUUGAGAAAAUAAUAAAUAAAGCACAGAGAAUAAUAAGACAAAUAUGCUUGUUUCCAAAAUGCAGAAUUGACUGUUAAUAUUAUCAAACGCUGGUUUAUCUUUUUUCUAAUAAAAAAGGUACAGAUAAAGUUGAAGUUCCCUUUGACCUACCUUUGCAGUCCUGUUGCCUACAUUCCCUCCCUCAAAGCAACCCUAUAUAAUAUCUGUAUGUAUUGUUUGAGGUCAUUAAAGAAUACAUUUAUGUGCCCAUAUACAUAAUAAUAUGUGUGAUUGUUCAGUGAGUAAUUUAAGAAUUUUCAAAUUUAAUAUUCACAGCCUAUUUUGUGAUGUUUCUGUCUUCUAUCCAUGCUAGUAUAUGUGGAUCUAUUUGUAAGUUUUCUGAGGGCAGGGACUCUGUCUUGCUCAUUGCUGAAUUUCCAGCACCUAGAAGAGCAUUUGGCAAGUAAACAUUCAAUCUUUCUUUCCUUCUUUCUUUCCUUCUUUCUUUCCUUCUUCCUCUCUUCUCCUUUCCUUUCCUUUCUUUCUCACUCUCUGUCUCUCUCUCUCUUUCUUUCUUUCUUCUUCUUCUUUUUUUUUUUUGACAGGGUCUCACUCUGUCUCCCAGGCUGGAGUGCAGUGGCACUAUCACUGCUCACUGCAACCUCCUCCUUCCAGGCUCAAGCAAUCCUCCCACCUCAGCCUCCUGACAGGUGUGCACCAUGUCACCUGGAUAAUUUUUUGUAUUUUUUUUUUUUUUUGUAGAGACAGGGUUUCAGCAUGUUGCCCAGACUGGUCUCAAACUCCUUUGCUCAAGUGAUCCUCCUGCCUUGGCCUCCCAAAGUGCUGGGACUAUAGAUGUGAGCCACUAUGCCUGCCAAUAUAUGUAUAUAUUUCUUAAGUGAGUUAAUAUCGUUCAUUUUUAACUGCUGUAUAGUAAUCAACUGUAUGAGUAUUCCACAUAUCACAUUUUAUUUAUUCAUUCUCCUACCAGUAGACAAUUUGUGCUUUCCUAAUUUCCAUGCUUCUUAUUACAAAUAAUGUUGUGGAACAGCCUUGUAGAAGUCUCCUGUGCCUACGCUUGAGUUGUAUCAGAGUUGGAAUUGCUGCUUUUCACAAAUAAACUUUAAACUAGAUUUAGCCAAA